rnacentral:lncRNA from 1 species
GCGCCACGCACGGCGAGCUAAGCUAUAAUAUAUAUUUCAGAUUUCGGAUUUAUUCGCGCUGCAUGUCUCUUUGACUUUUGUUGGUGGAGACAAGAGACAGUUGACAAUUCCUGACUGUAAAUUGUCAGAUUUUUGGUUUGAUUGUUGUUUUUUUACCAAAAACUUUUUGGUUAACUUAUUACUUAUUUAUUUUUAGAGGUGAUAAUACAUAUUUUUAUAUAAAUAUAACUAAAUCUUACAUUUUUUUAGUGGUAAAAAUAAGAUAAAAAAAUGAGUGAUCAUUUUACAUCCAUCCAGUGAUGAGAAUUUAGAAGGAAUUGACACUUAGGGAGUACCAAAAAAUUUAGAUUAUUUUGAGGAAACUGUGCCUUUGUUUGAUGGCGAUAAGUAUGUCCUGGAACAUUUUGGCAUCAUCAGAGUAAAAGUAGUAGAGAUGUUACAGGUCCAUUCAACACAUCCAAAAGUUGUUUACACAAAAUAGUAAGGAGAAUCACUUUUUUAUCUGCUGAAUACGUUCGUUGGCCAAAUGAGUAAAUGACAAUGAAAAACAGACUAUUUAAAGAUAUUUUCGUUAUUGCAAUUUCCCAGGGGGCUUAUGUGAAAAUCGAUAAACCAAAGGAAGAUCCAGAUUCAUAUUAAAAUAGGAACAAAAAUAUUCAAUACAGGCACAAAUGGUUUAUGAUCACGAGAAAAUGAUCAGGGAUAUAUUUGUUGUAUAUCCAGGUUCUGUACACUAUAGCAGAGUUUUAAGGAGAUCCAAUUUGUUUGCAGCUCUUCCACAAAGAUGUGGUGAAUACUAUAUUUUAGGUGAUAGUGAAUACACAUGUUUAAACAUUUUUUGACUCCAGUUAAAGACAAGGGUCAUUUAACAAGACAGUAAAGAAAUUAUAAUUAUUGUUCAAAAAUACAUAUGGGAUAGAGCAUUGUUUUGGAUUUCUCAAACAAAGAUUUAUAGGCAGCUGUAUCACCAUCCAUUAAGAAAUAUUAGAGAUAUAGUCCCAUUUAUAAGGGCUAGUGCAGUGUUACAUAACUUAGCAAUUGAUGAUAAUUUGCCCAUCAAUUGAAUGUUGAUGCACCUCAUCUUCUCAUUACCAACAAAUAUGAAAUUGAUGCUGUAUAUAGGUGGUGUUACAAAAAGAAAUUCAUGCAAGGUUUAAAUUUGAUUUUGUAAUAAUUGUGUUUAAUAAACUAUAUUCAGACACUUUCAAA